UUGAUUGUGAAAGGUUGCCUCCUGUGCUGGCUUUUGCAAGUGCACGGUGGUGACUUUCAUUCCACCCCCUUUGUGAACCUUUGGCCUCUUGCUGGCUUUUGCUGGCAGAGGAUUUUUUACACAAACUCGAAUGUAAUGAGAUAUACUGUUGUGCGCAAGCACAAAUGUA
rnacentral:misc_RNA from 1 species